UAGCCAUGCUACCAGCCUCCCUGUUUCUCCAGUUUGCAGACAGAAUAUGGUGGGACUUCUCAACCUCCAUAAUUGGGAAAGGAACUAAAAUAAUUCUGAGUACUAGCAAGGACUAAGAUGAAGUUCAAUGUUAUGACUGCAAAGUGAAAUGAUCAGAAGUUUCAUGGCCAUGAGUACUGCUGCCUGGCCCGGGCAUGAGAAAUGAGUUUGCUCUAGACUGCAGAUUGUGAAGACGAGCUUUGCAAAAAUCUAACAUCUAGUGCAUUCUGACUAUGGAGAGGAUAUAAUUGAUGUAAGACUCCAAGAGAUUGCUGGUGAAUAGAUCUGUGGUUAGAUUUUAAACGAUGGAUUUAGAAAACAAUUCAAUGAGGUUAAAAUUAAUUUUAGUAAAUGUGAGGGAUAAGAGAAAGGAAGGCUGAGAUAAGCUGUUUUAUAAGAAAUAGUUAUGCUGAACAGAUCCAAGUUUUGCUGAGGUGAAGCAGAAACAAUAUGGCGAUUAGAAAGAACAGCGAGGUCAAGAUGUUACUGCAUUUUCAACCUGGGUAACUACGAGGUCAAUAUGUGAAUAAGUUAACAAUGUAUUGCUGAAGAAAUUAUGAAUAGAAUGGAGAGGAAACUGGGAAAGUAUAGAGUGUGGUUAUUUACUACAUGUUUUAGGUCACCAGUUAAAAUAAAUAAAGUUGACCUAGGUUUAAAAAGAAGGGAAAAUGUUAAACAAGGAUCAUUGUUGAGUAAUUGGAAUUAAGAGUUCACACAAAAAGCAGGCUGUCUCUUAAUCCUAGGGCAUGAAGAGCAGGGGAUAAAAGGAUGGUCUCUGUCAGAUAUUUCCAAGAAAAAGCAUUGUCAAUUUUAGGAUGUUUGCGUUUGGUAAAUGUAGAAAGCUAUCAUCCAUAGAUGCUAACACUGUUUUGGCAUAUAACAGAUUCUCAAAAUUUGUUAUUAUGUUAGUGAAAAGUUUAUAUAUUCAUAAGUAAGAAAUUUUCAAGAUUAACUAUAUCUAAUUUCGGUUUUCCUCUUCACCAUAUACACAGUCCCAUUGAAAGGAAACAUUGAGUAAUACAGAAAUUAGAAUUUAGGCUUCACAAAUUUUAGAAUUAAUUACACUGAUUUUCACAAUUUUACUGGUAAUAAUUGUAUCCUCACAUUAAUCCUGGUGGUACUGGGGUUCAUCAUCUUUAAACAUUAGGGGAUACCAUCUUUCUCAUGAAUCUAAAAAGUUCGUGGGAUUAUACUGAAAUGAGAGAAGGUCCCUUAUCAUCCUCACAGGGCAUGCGACAAGGAUGUGGCUUGCUUCUUUGGUGCCCCACUGCUCAAACUCCUUGGGGGAGCAUGCAGGCAGGUGAGUCAUGGGGAAUGUUACUAGGCUCCGACCCCAUGGCAGCAUCUAGAGGUGAAAUUUUAUAACUCCAGAAGCCCAAGUGAGCCUGUGUUACAGUGCACUCUUUCAGCUUAUCCGUCUGCACGUGGCUUGUGUUAAUCAGCUUGAUGACACCUUCUGCCUUAUUGCAAGAUCGGAGGGUUUUCUGUAUCCCAGGUUCUUGC
rnacentral:lncRNA from 1 species